AAAGCUUGAAAGGAUGGUAUUAUGCCAUGCAAGCCAGUUAGUGAACCAACGGGCUAAGGGUGCCAAGGGUCUCACUAGCGUACAGGGCGCGGCUCGGCCACUGGUAGCCGAGGACAGCUUAUUAUGCACUGAGCUUGGUUUAAGCGGGCCAGAGUCAGUGGGUUAAACAGAGGGCGUGGCCUAAGUCGUCGGCCCUGAUUAUUAUGUGAUAUGAGCAGUAUAUGUGGUAGAAUGUAUCUUGUAUUGGAUUGUAUAUGCUGAUUAUCUGUUGUGGACUAUCUAGUAAAGGCAAGGGCAAGUUAGAUCAGCCCUGACUGGAGAGCUCGGCGAGCGGAAUGUACAUAGCCAGGUGCUCGGCCGCCACGGUUGAGGUCUAGGCAAGGACAUGGAACCUAAAGACUGUCUGUUUUGCCUUAGUAUGGCUAGUGGAUACUUAUGUACUUUUGGAAGUCUGUAAACUUAUUUUAACUUUGUGUUUAUGGGAUCCCUUGUUUAUUACAGUUUAAAUAUAUGAAAUGAGUCUUUUAAGACUGAAACCUUUUU